rnacentral:rRNA from 1 species
CACGUAGGGACCAAGCGUUGUCCGGAUUUAUUGGGCGUAAAGAGCUCGUAGGCGGUUCGUCGCGUCGGCUGUGAAAACCUGAGGCUCAACCUCAGGCCUGCAGUCGAUACGGGCGGACUUGAGUACUGCAGGGGAGACUGGAAUUCCUGGUGUAGCGGUGAAAUGCGCAGAUAUCAGGAGGAACACCGGUGGCGAAGGCGGGUCUCUGGGCCGAUACUGACGCUGAGGAGCGAAAGCGUGGGGAGCGAACAGG